rnacentral:rRNA from 1 species
CGAAUGGGGCAACCCGUCUGGUUGAAGACCAGACAUCACGCCGUAAGGCGUGGAGCGAACCCGGAGAACUGAAACAUCUAAGUACCCGGAGGAAGAGAAAACAAUAGUGAUUCCGCAAGUAGUGGCGAGCGAACGCGGAACAGCCCAAACCCAAUU